AAUUCGAUUGAGUUUGAUCAUGGCUCAGAACGAACGCUGGCGGCGUGGAUAAGACAUGCAAGUCGAACGGGACUUUACCGAGUAGCAAUACCUGGGAAAGUUUAGUGGCGAACGGAUGCGUAACACGUGGGGAAUCUGCCGAGAAGUGGGGGAUAGCUCGUCGAAAGGCGAAUUAAUACCGCAUAUGAUCAGGAAAGACAUCUUUCCAACAUCAAAGCUGGGGCAACCUGGCGCUUCUUGAUGACCCCGCGGCCUAUCAGCUAGUUGGUGAGGUAAUGGCCCACCAAGGCUAUGACGGGUAGCUGGUCUGAGAGGACGACCAGUCACACUGGAACUGAGACACGGUCCAGACACCUACGGGUGGCAGCAGUCGAGAAUUUUUCUCAAUGGGGGCAACCCUGAAGGAGCGACGCCGCGUGGAGGAUGAAGGCUUUCGGGUUGUAAACUCCUGUCAUUUGAGAACAAGUGUAGCCAAAUAACUACUGGCUACUUGAUAGUAUCAGAAGAGGAAGGGACGGCUAACUCUGUGCCAGCAGCCGCGGUAAUACAGAGGUCCCAAGCGUUGUUCGGAUUCAUUGGGCGUAAAGGGUGCGUAGGUGGCGCCGUCAGUGGGGUGUGAAAUUUCGGAGCUUAACUCCGAAACUGCAUUCCAUACUGCGGUGCUUGAGGACUGGAGAGGAGACUGGAAUUCAUGGUGUAGCAGUGAAAUGCGUAGAGAUCAUGAGGAAGACCAGUGGCGAAGGCGGGUCUCUGGACAGUUCCUGACACUGANGCACGAAGGCUAGGGGAGCGAACGGGAUUAGAUACCCCGGUAGUCCUAGCAGUAAACGGUGCACGUUUGGUGUGA
rnacentral:rRNA from 1 species